rnacentral:sRNA from 1 species
GCUGCGAGCAUGGCGGCGUCAAAGGUGAAGCAGGACAUGCCCCCGCCGGGGGGCUAUGGGCCCAUCGACUACAAACGGAACUUGCCGCGUCGAGGACUGUCGGGCUACAGCAUGCUGGCCCUAGGGAUUGGAACCCUGAUCUAUGGGCACUGGAGCAUGAUGAAGUGGAACCGUGAGCGCAGGUAGGGCCCCCGGUUGGUGUCUGAAAGUCCCCCCGGCCAGUUGUCAGGGUCCUGUAGCAUUCCACUGUUGUCCGUGCUGGCGAGGGGUGAACGGGCCCCUUGGACUUGGCCGUGCAAUCCCAGGCCCCAGAAAGUGCAGAUCCAGACCCAGCACUUCCAUUUCUAGGCUCUGUCCUCCAGAUGUCUCCGUGUCUGCAAUCCCAGCACUUUGGGAGGCCAAGGUGGGAGCAUUGCUUGAGCCCAGGAGUUCAAGACCAGCCUGGGCAACAGAGGGAAACCCUGUCCCCGCCACCCCAAAAAUAUGUCUAGUGAGGAGGGCUGGGACCCGUGGAUCCAGGUUAGGACAGGAUAUGAGUGGGGGGCCUGCCUCGGGCCCUCUAAGCAGGAUUUUGUCAGAGGUGACCAGGCUCAAAGCAGACCACACCAGGCAGUGGACACACAGGGCCAGAUGA